GACGAACGCUGGCGGCGUGCUUAACACAUGCAAGUCGAACGGAAAGGCCCUGCUUUUGUGGGGUGCUCGAGUGGCGAACGGGUGAGUAACACGUGAGUAACCUGCCCUUGACUUUGGGAUAACUUCAGGAAACUGGGGCUAAUACCGGAUAGGAGCUCCUGCUGCAUGGUGGGGGUUGGAAAGUUUCGGCGGUUGGGGAUGGACUCGCGGCUUAUCAGCUUGUUGGUGGGGUAGUGGCUUACCAAGGCUUUGACGGGUAGCCGGCCUGAGAGGGUGACCGGCCACAUUGGGACUGAGAUACGGACCAGAAUCCUACGGGAGGCAGCAGUGGGGAAUAUUGCACAAUGGGCGGAAGCCUGAUGCAGCAACGCCGCGUGCGGGAUGACGGCCUUCGGGUUGUAAACCGCUUUCGCCUGUGACGAAGCGGGAGUGACGGUAAUGGGUAAAGAAGCACCGGCUAACUACGUG
rnacentral:rRNA from 1 species